rnacentral:rRNA from 1 species
GAUGAACGCUAGCUACAGGCUUAACACAUGCAAGUCGAGGGACCGGCGCACGGGUGAGUAACACGUAUCCAACCUUCCGUUUACUCAGGGAUAGCCUUUCGAAAGAAAGAUUAAUACCUGAUAGUGAUGGAUGGGGAUGCGUCUGAUUAGCCUGUUGGCGGGGUAACGGCCCACCAAGGCGACGAUCAGUAGGGGUUCUGAGAGGAAGGUCCCCCACAUUGGAACUGAGACACGGUCCAAACUCCUACGGGAGGCAGCAGUGAGGAAUAUUGGUCAAUGGACGAGAGUCUGAACCAGCCAAGUAGCGUGCAGGAUGACGGCCUAUGGGUUGUAAACUGCUUUUAUAAGGGAAUAUGUACCUUAUGAAUAAGGACCGGCUAAUUCCGUGCCAGCAGCCGCGGUAAUACGGAAGGUCCGGGCGUUAUCCGGAUUUAUUGGGUUUAGAGGGAGCGUAGGCCGGAGAUUAAGCGUGUUGUGAAAUGUAGACGCUCAACGUCUGCACUGCAGCGCGAACUGGUUUCCUUGAGUACGCACAAAGUGGGCGGAAUUCGUGGUGUAGCGGUGAAAUGCUUAGAUAUCACGAAGAACUCCGAUUGCGA